UACACUGUAAAAUGCAAUAGCUGAGCUUACUAAAAAGAUUAAGUAAACUUAACUUAUUUAAUUAAGUUUGUUAACCUUACUUAGUUUAACUAAGUAAUCCCAACUUUUUUCUAUGCAAACUCAAGUCAACUUGAUUAAACUUAAAAGAUUAAUUUAGCUCAACUUAAAAUUUCAAGUAUUUUCAAAAAGGAUGACUGCACAGUAGGUGGCAGUAAUGCUCCCAAGGAGUAAGUGGUGGCUUAACUGAGUGGUUAACUGAAGAAGACGACAACACAUGGUCGGAUGAGAGCAUGAGGAGCAGGAGCUUGUUUCUUUGAAGAGAGCGCAUACACUUCAUGGAAAGUCAGUAUAACGUUACUGUGGAGUACAACCAAGUCGCAAGCAAAAACCUCAAGCAAGAAUUGUUCUCAUCCCUUGCUAAACAUUGUUUUUGAAGAUUUUGAAUGAGAGAAAAGUUUAAAAGCUCUCUUGAGUAUCUAAUAAACAUCACUGAUGUCACUGCUCGGUGGACGGUAGUUCUCCGUGGUCUUGCUAUCCUUCUUGCGGAAGACACUACAGACUUCCUGAAAACAAACAUGGUUAGUAUUCUUCUCGUUUAAUCAAUAUGAGAUGUCCUAAUUUUUGUGUUAGCAUUUAAUUAGCAUUAUUAAAGAAAUAAUGUGUAAAUAGAAGAUAAUUAAAGGCACCAAGGCACAUCCUUUUGUCCCACAAUUCUAUGCGUGAGCAUGCUCAGGAUUGGUUGAGCCUGGUUGAGUUCGAUAAAAUAAAAUGGUGGGCAAGAAAGCAACUGAGCACACAUUUAGUGUAAAUAAAGUAAUAUUUUCACUUUUGGUUGCAUUUCUAGCGAGAAAUUUGUAUUGUAGUUUUGAACUCUUUCCCCGCCAUUGAGUUAUUCCGUCAAUUAAGAGAAUCAAUAACUUCUGAUAAAUGCUGUGAAUAAAUUAAAACAUAAUUUAUUUGCCAGGUAAAGGUUUUAUGCCAAUUACAUAACCAAUUCAAAUUCAUUAUAAAGAAAGCAAAACAUCAAAUAUUCAAAGAUCAGUCUGAGAUGUAUACCUGACAGUAGCGAAAUACAUCAACAUGACACUAUGGGUUUUGGUUUAUCGCAUUAUGAGUGAACAAAGCUUAAUACAGGUGUUAACAGUGUGUAAACCGUUUUGAGCUGUCCACUUUCGACUACAUUCAGAUGUAUUCAAAACAGAUUAGAACCGCUUAAACACGCUGUAACCCGUAUGCUGGAAAUAAAUUUGACAGGUACAGUUUAAUAAUACACAAAAUUAAAUCAAAUGUCUUUUAAUAACAUAUGAUGUUAUAGUUACAAAUGAUUAAACCAAAUAGUGUGUUUGUGACAUUUGAACGUCUUGUCUUAAAACUGAAAAUAAACAGGUUUUCCUGUAUUUGUUAAAAAUAAGCUUAUAAAAUAGUUAAAAUAAAUAUUUAAUGUUGCUUACCUUAUGAGUAAAAUAGCCACAUAACAAGUGGGAUAAUGCACAGACAGCAGGUUGUUAUCAUGAAAUAAGCCCCUUCAGUUUGAUACAAGACCCUCUGCUUGACACAGAGUCCUGAUCAAACUGUUGGGGAUUAUUUCUGGAAAAACAACCUGCUGCCUAUACAAUAUACCUUACCUAUAGAAGAGUUUUCUAACAAGAUAUUAUUAAUUAAAUAUGUUCCAAGGAUGUUUUUGCACCACCAGGAAAGAAGCUUCUGCUGAAAGGUCCAAAUUAUUAUUGGCAAUUCCAACCGAAGCACUGUUACAAAUUUAAGUGUCACUUCAAAAACUAGUAACAUCACCUUGAACAGUUUAAAUUUUUAAAUGACACAUCCACUUUGCAUUUGUAUUAUGAGAAUUUAUAUUAA